UACGUAGGCAGCAAGCGUUGUUCGGAAUUACUGGGCGUAAAGAGUGUGUAGGCGGUGCUCUAAGUCUGUUGUGAAAUCUCCCGGCUUAACCGGGAGGGUGCGGCGGAAACUGGAGUGCUUGAGGGUGGGAGAGGUAAGCGGAAUUCCUGGUGUAGCGGUGAAAUGCGUAGAUAUCAGGAGGAACACCUGUGGUGUAGACAGCUUACUGGACCACUUCUGACGCUGAGACACGAAAGCGUGGUA
rnacentral:rRNA from 1 species